rnacentral:rRNA from 1 species
GGUUAAGCGACUAAGCGUACACGGUGGAUGCCCUGGCAGUCAGAGGCGAUGAAGGGCGUGCUAAUCUGCGAUAAGCGCCGGUAAGGUGAUAUGAACCGUUAUAACCGGCGAUACCCGAAUGGGGAAACCCAGUGUGAUUCGUCACACUAUCAUUAACUGAAUCCAUAGGUUAAUGAGGCGAACCGGGGGAACUGAAACAUCUAAGUACCCCGAGGAAAAGAAAUCAACCGAGAUUCCCCCAGUAGCGGCGAGCGAACGGGGAGGAGCCCAGAGCCUGAAUCAGCAUGUGUGUUAGUGGAAGCGUCUGGAAAGGCGCGCGAUACAGGGUGACAGCCCCGUACACAAAAGCGCAUGUGCUGUGAGCUCGAUGAGUAGGGCGGGACACGUGGUAUCCUGUCUGAAUAUGGGGGGACCAUCCUCCAAGGCUAAAUACUCCUGACUGACCGAUAGUGAACCAGUACCGUGAGGGAAAGGCGAAAAGAACCCCGGCGAGGGGAGUGAAAAAGAACCUGAAACCGUGUACGUACAAGCAGUGGGAGCACAGGUUUACCUGUGUGACUGCGUACCUUUUGUAUAAUGGGUCAGCGACUUAUAUUCUGUAGCAAGGUUAACCGAAUAGGGGAGCCGGAGGGAAACCGAGUCUUAAUUGGGCGUUAAGUUGCAGGGUAUAGACCCGAAACCCGGUGAUCUAGCCAUGGGCAGGUUGAAGGUUGGGUAACACUAACUGGAGGACCGAACCGACUAAUGUUGAAAAAUUAGCGGAUGACCUGUGGCUGGGGGUGAAAGGCCAAUCAAACCGGGAGAUAGCUGGUUCUCCCCGAAAGCUAUUUAGGUAGCGCCUCGUGAAUUCAUCUCCGGGGGUAGAGCACUGUUUCGGCUAGGGGGCCAUCCCGGCUUACCAACCCGAUGCAAACUGCGAAUACCGGAGAAUGUUAUCACGGGAGACACACGGCGGGUGCUAACGUCCGUCGUGAAGAGGGAAACAACCCAGACCGCCAGCUAAGGUCCCAAAGUCAUGGUUAAGUGGGAAACGAUGUGGGAAGGCCCAGACAGCCAGGAUGUUGGCUUAGAAGCAGCCAUCAUUUAAAGAAAGCGUAAUAGCUCACUGGUCGAGUCGGCCUGCGCGGAAGAUGUAACGGGGCUAAACCAUGCACCGAAGCUGCGGCAGCGACGCUUAUGCGUUGUUGGGUAGGGGAGCGUUCUGUAAGUAAGCCUGUGAAGGUGGCCUGUGAGGGUUGCUGGAGGUAUCAGAAGUGCGAAUGCUGACAUAAGUAACGAUAAAGCGGGUGAAAAGCCCGCUCGCCGGAAGACCAAGGGUUCCUGUCCAACGUUAAUCGGGGCAGGGUGAGUCGACCCCUAAGGCGAGGCCGAAAGGCGUAGUCGAUGGGAAACGGGUUAAUAUUCCCGUACUUGGUGUUACUGCGAAGGGGGGACGGAGAAGGCUAUGUUGGCCGGGCGACGGUUGUCCCGGUUUAAGCGUGUAGGUGUGUGUUCCAGGUAAAUCCGGUUCACUUUAACACUGAGGCGUGAUGACGAGGCACUACGGUGCUGAAGUAACAAAUGCCCUGCUUCCAGGAAAAGCCUCUAAGCAUCAGGUAACAUCAAAUCGUACCCCAAACCGACACAGGUGGUCAGGUAGAGAAUACCAAGGCGCUUGAGAGAACUCGGGUGAAGGAACUAGGCAAAAUGGUGCCGUAACUUCGGGAGAAGGCACGCUGACACGUAGGUGAAGUGAUUUACUCAUGGAGCUGAAGUCAGUCGAAGAUACCAGCUGGCUGCAACUGUUUAUUAAAAACACAGCACUGUGCAAACACGAAAGUGGACGUAUACGGUGUGACGCCUGCCCGGUGCCGGAAGGUUAAUUGAUGGGGUCAGCGCAAGCGAAGCUCCUGAUCGAAGCCCCGGUAAACGGCGGCCGUAACUAUAACGGUCCUAAGGUAGCGAAAUUCCUUGUCGGGUAAGUUCCGACCUGCACGAAUGGCGUAAUGAUGGCCAGGCUGUCUCCACCCGAGACUCAGUGAAAUUGAACUCGCUGUGAAGAUGCAGUGUACCCGCGGCAAGACGGAAAGACCCCGUGAACCUUUACUAUAGCUUGACACUGAACAUUGAGCCUUGAUGUGUAGGAUAGGUGGGAGGCUUUGAAGUGUGGACGCCAGUCUGCAUGGAGCCGACCUUGAAAUACCACCCUUUAAUGUUUGAUGUUCUAACGUGGACCCGUUACCCGGGUUGCGGACAGUGUCUGGUGGGUAGUUUGACUGGGGCGGUCUCCUCCUAAAGAGUAACGGAGGAGCACGAAGGUUGGCUAAUCCUGGUCGGACAUCAGGAGGUUAGUGCAAUGGCAUAAGCCAGCUUGACUGCGAGCGUGACGGCGCGAGCAGGUGCGAAAGCAGGUCAUAGUGAUCCGGUGGUUCUGAAUGGAAGGGCCAUCGCUCAACGGAUAAAAGGUACUCCGGGGAUAACAGGCUGAUACCGCCCAAGAGUUCAUAUCGACGGCGGUGUUUGGCACCUCGAUGUCGGCUCAUCACAUCCUGGGGCUGAAGUAGGUCCCAAGGGUAUGGCUGUUCGCCAUUUAAAGUGGUACGCGAGCUGGGUUUAGAACGUCGUGAGACAGUUCGGUCCCUAUCUGCCGUGGGCGCUGGAGAACUGAGGGGGCUGCUCCUAGUACGAGAGGACCGGAGUGGACGCAUCACUGGUGUUCGGGUUGUCAUGCCAAUGGCACUGCCCGGUAGCUAAAUGCGGAAGAGAUAAGUGCUGAAAGCAUCUAAGCACGAAACUUGCCCCGAGAUGAGUUCUCCCUGAGACUUAAAGUCUCCUGAAGGAACGUUGAAGACGACGACGUUGAUAGGCCGGGUGUGUAAGCGCAGCGAUGCGUUGAGCUAACCGGUACUAAUGAACCGUGAGGCUUAACCCU